UGAUUAUGGUGAGGGUAAUUUCUAAGCAUACCCUUGAAUCUUUCCCAAGCUUGGUAGAGAUUUUCUCCUUCUUUUGGCCUGAAACUCAUAAUCUCGCUUCUCAAAUG
rfam:Capsicum annuum cultivar Zunla-1 chromosome 11, whole genome shotgun sequence